rnacentral:rRNA from 1 species
GUGUUUGAUGUACCCGUACCGUAAACCGACACAGGUGGAUGAGGAGAGAAUCCUAAGGCCGGCGGGAGAAGCAUUGUUAAGGAACUCGGCAAAAUGACCCCGUAACUUCGGGAGAAGGGGUGCUCCAGAGAUGGAGCCGCAGAGAACUGGCCCAAGCAACUGUUUAGCAAAAACACAGGUCUAUGCAAAACCGAAAGGUGAGGUAUAUGCUGACGCCUGCCCGGUGCUGGAAGGUUAAGAGGAGAUGUUAGCCGCAAGGUGAAGCAUUGAAUUUAAGCCCCAGUAAACGGCGGCCGUAACUAUAACGGUCCUAAGGUAGCGAAAUUCCUUGUCGGGUAAGUUCCGACCCGCACGAAAGGCGUAAUGAUUUGGGCACUGUCUCGACAAUGCACCCGGUGAAAUUGAAAUACCAGUGAAGAUGCUGGUUACCUGCGCCAGGACGGAAAGACCCCAUGGAGCUUUACUCUAGCUUGAUACUGGGGUUCGGUAUUGCAUGUACAGGAUAGGUGGGAGACGAAGAGGCAGUGACGCCAGUUGCUGCGGAGUCGAUGUUGGGAUACCACCCCUGCAGUACUGGGCUUCUAACCUGCAGCCGUGACCCGGCUGGGGGACAAUGUCUGGUGGGGAGUUUGACUGGGGCGGUCGCCUCCGAAAGAGUAUCGGAGGCGCUCAAAGGUUCCCUCAGAAUGGUUGGAAACCAUUCGAAGAGCGCAAAGGCAGAAGGGAGCUUGACUGCGACACCGACGGGUGGAGCAGGUACGAAAGUAGGACUUAGUGAUCCGGUGGUAUGAAAGUGGGAUUGCCAUCGCUCAACGGAUAAAAGCUACCCUGGGGAUAACAGGCUUAUCACUCCCAAGAGUUCACAUCGACGGAGUGGUUUGGCACCUCGAUGUCGGCUCAUCGCAUCCUGGGGCUGUAGUAGGUCCCAAGGGUUGGGCUGUUCGCCCAUUAAAGCGGUACGCGAGCUGGGUUCAGAACGUCGUGAGACAGUUCGGUCCCUAUCCGGCGUGGGCGUAGGAUAUCUGAGAGGAGCUGUCCUUAGUACGAGAGGACCGGGAUGGACUGACCUCUGGUGCACCGGUUGCAUUGCCAAAUGCAUAGCCGGGUAGCCAAGUCGGGACGGGAUAAACGCUGAAGGCAUCUAAGCGUGAAGCCCCCCUCAAGAUGAGAUAUCCCAUAACGUAAGUUAGUAAGACCCCUUGAAGACGACGAGGUAGAUAGGCAGAAGGUGGAAGUGUGGUGACAUAUGGAGCUGAUCUGUACUAAUAGGUCGAGGGCUUAACCAA